rnacentral:rRNA from 1 species
AGGGAAAGCUGGAGGCAUGCUUUACACAUGCAAGUCGAACGGCAGCGCGGGCUUCGGCCUGGCGGCGAGUGGCGAACGGGUGAGUAAUGCAUCGGAACGUGCCCAGUAGUGGGGGAUAGCCCGGCGAAAGCCGGAUUAAUACCGCAUACGACCUGAGGGUGAAAGCGGGGGACCGAAAGGCCUCGCGCUAUUGGAGCGGCCGAUGUCGGAUUAGCUAGUUGGUGGGGUAAAGGCUUACCAAGGCGACGAUCCGUAGCUGGUCUGAGAGGACGACCAGCCACACUGGGACUGAGACACGGCCCAGACUCCUACGGGAGGCAGCAGUGGGGAAUUUUGGACAAUGGGGGCAACCCUGAUCCAGCCAUGCCGCGUGCGGGAAGAAGGCCUUCGGGUUGUAAACCGCUUUUGUUCGGGAAUAAAUCCUCUGGGCUAAUACCCCGGGGGGAUGACGGUACCGGAAGAAUAAGCACCGGCUAACUACGUG